rnacentral:rRNA from 1 species
AAGAUGAGAUAUCCCAUUCGAAAGAAGUAAGACCCCUUGAAGACGACGAGGUAGAUAGGGCAGGGGUGGAAGUGCCGUAAGGCAUGGAGCUGACUGUUACUAAUCGGUCGAGGGCUUGACCUAAUU